AAGAAGGUUAAAACUCGAGCUGAAUUUGAUUUGUUGAAGAACUCAAAUCCUCGGGAUUACAGCAAGAAGAAAGAGAAAUGCUGGUCUUCGGGCAUGUCUCUGAAGGAUUGUCUUAAUUAGCUUACUUGAUGGGAGAGAAGACCUAGCCCACUGUGGGGAGCACCACCCCUAGGCUGGAUCCUGGAUUAUGCAAGAGUGGAGAAAGCAAUCAGGUGAUUGGCAGAAUGCCUGGGCUCCUGGGUAUCAGCGUUCUAUGUCAACUGCGAUCCUAAAUAUCCGACUUGACUCUAGUGUUGACCAGAUGACCUUCCACUGAGGCCUGCCCAGCACUUAUCAAUUAUAUUCGAUUUGAUUUCAAUUGCUAUGUUUCUCCGUCUGCAGAAUCCUGUGGGUGAAUUGGUAAUUGUUUCUAUUAAAGCAAGGCAUGAUCACUUCUCGUCCAGCGGGUGGAUGGGACCAUACAUUCGUCCAUCUUGUAAGAGUGCAGAAAUGACCACUGACUCUAAUCUGUAAAGAAAUCACCAUUGCAGAAGCCACAGUAUGUGUUCUUGUUAUUCCCGUUCUCUUCUGAUGUUUUCAUUAUAUGGAUUUAUUUU
rnacentral:lncRNA from 1 species